CAUAUUUCUGGGGACCAAGGUCAUCGAUGGCAGCAGAGGCAUGCUCCCCCAAAGAGCUCAAACUCACGACCUUGUGAUCAAGACCUGAGCUGAGAUCAAGUGUGGGAUGCCUAACCGACUGAGCCACCCGGUGCUCCCACAGUUAUUCUAAAACUUAAUUUGUACUCCACCUUUUUCUUUUCAAUGAAACAAUGAGAAACUCCC
rnacentral:lncRNA from 1 species